UUCUCCCUUGCCCAAUUCUGCAAAAUGACUGGAAGUACCUUUUUAAAAGAAAAGUCAGACUAGAAAUGAGGAAGGGGUGCUUGAAGGGAACAGCUAAAUCAGAAUUGAGUGGAGCCUAGUGGGGAUGGUGUGAUGUGCAGCCAGGGGUGACUGAAGGGCUGCUGCAUCUUGGCUUGCAUCACCACCACCCUCCCCUGCAGGCUGAAGCUCACUCUCUCUGCAGAAGUCAUGGGCCUGUCCCAGGCAGCACCCACUCCUGCUGUGAGAGGGCCACCAGACCCUCCAGAGAAGACCGUCCAGAGAAGAAGGGUGAGAAGAACAAGGAUGGCUGCCAUGCUGUCACAUGGCAAACUGGCCUAGGCCUGAAUACAGCAAUGAGCUGCACAAUUCAUCCAUGUGGAGAAGGCAGAGAAAUGAGUGCUGGUGUGCAAAAAGCAAAGACUUGUCCCAGGGACUAAGAACAACUCCUUUGCUGUCAAACUCCUGUGCUAGUGCAGCUCUGUUUUGCUCUAGAGUUUGCUCUGUUCCUGAUAACUUUCUGACCCUGUGUUGUGCUCCAGGGACUGUUUUGACCUCCGUGAACCUUUGCCUUCCACACGCUUUAUUUUGGACAAAAAUAUUCUUAUCAUCCCUUUCAUCUGAGGAGAAAGCCAUCUUCCAAACAGCAAGGUACCCACAGCUUUGUAUGUUCUGUACGGUGGCACUUUUGCUUUUUCCUCAGCCUCUCCUGCCUCUGUUGCGGAUGCUGCCAUUCCCGCUUGGUUAAUUUGUCUUUGUCAGCACAUGUUUCCACAGCAGUGGCAAGACUGACCGUCCCUGGUAGGGCCAGCCGUGUUUACCCGACCACUCCGCAUCCUUCGGCAAGCAGCCUGCUCUUGGUGACUUUUCUGUUCACUUUUACCCACUGAAGCCACAAAUUCUCAAUGAAUUCUUAUGCCUUUUCUAGCCCGAACGAAACCAUCUGAAAAGUAAA